CCCUUCGGGGCGGGUUCACAAGUGGUGCAUGGUCGUCGUCAGCUCGUGUCGUGAGAUGUUGGGUCAAGUCCCGCAACGAGCGCAACCCUCGCCCCGUGUUGCCAGCGCGUCAUGGCGGGAACUCACGGGGGACCGCCGGGGUUAACCCGGAGGAAGGUGGGGAUGACGUCAGAUCAUCAUGCCCCUUACGUCCAGGGCUUCACGCAUGCUACAAUGGCCGGUACAGCGGGAUGCGACAUGGCGACAUGGAGCGGAUCCCUGAAAACCGGUCUCAGUUCGGAUCGGAGCCUGCAACCCGGCUCCGUGAAGGCGGAGUCGCUAGUAAUCGCGGAUCAGCAACGCCGCGGUGAAUGCGUUCCCGGGCCUUGUACACACCGCCCGUCAAGUCAUGAAAGUGGGCAGCACCCGAAGCCGGUGGCCUGACCAGUAUUGCUGGGGGGAGCCGUCUAAGGUGAGGCUCGCGAUUGGGACU
rnacentral:rRNA from 1 species